rnacentral:rRNA from 1 species
GUUGGUUUUACCCGAAGGCAGUGCGCUAACCGCAAGGAGACAGCUGACCACGGUGGGAUCAGCGACUGAGGUGAAGUCGUAACAAGGUAACCGUAGGUGAACCUGCAGAAGGAUCA